UACGUAGGUGGCGAGCGUUGUCCGGAUUUACUGGGCGUAAAGAGCGCGCAGGCGGCUGGUCAAGUCCGAUGUGAAAGCUCCCGGCUUAACUGGGAAAUUGCAUCGGAAACUGAUCGGCUGGAAGGUGGGAGAGGGUAGCGGAAUUCCCGGUGUAGUGGUGAAAUGCGUAGAUAUCGGGAGGAACACCAGUGGCGAAAGCGGCUACCUGGCCCAUUCUUGACGCUGAGGCGCGAAAGCUAGGGGAGCAACGGG
rnacentral:rRNA from 1 species